UAGGCUUCCGAAUCACUUGACUUUUAAUCAAGUUGUCCGGGGUUCGAAUCCCCGAUGCU
rnacentral:tRNA from 2 species